UCGACGGCAGCACAGGAGAGCUUGCUCUCUGGGUGGCGAGUGGCGGACGGGUGAGGAAUACAUCGGAAUCUACUUUUUCGUGGGGGAUAACGUAGGGAAACUUACGCUAAUACCGCAUACGACCUACGGGUGAAAGCAGGGGAUCUUCGGACCUUGCGCGAUUGAAUGAGCCGAUGUCGGAUUAGCUAGUUGGCGGGGUAAAGGCCCACCAAGGCGACGAUCCGUAGCUGGUCUGAGAGGAUGAUCAGCCACACUGGAACUGAGACACGGUCCAGACUCCUACGGGAGGCAGCAGUGGGGAAUAUUGGACAAUGGGCGCAAGCCUGAUCCAGCCAUACCGCGUGGGUGAAGAAGGCCUUCGGGUUGUAAAGCCCUUUUGUUGGGAAAGAAAUCCAGCUGGCUAAUACCCGGUUGGGAUGACNNNACCCAAAGAAUAAGCACCGGCUAACUUCGUGCCAGCAGCCGCGGUAAUACGAAGGGUGCAAGCGUUACUCGGAAUUACUGGGCGUAAAGCGUGCGUAGGUGGUUGUUUAAGUCUGUUGUGAAAGCCCUGGGCUCAACCUGGGAACUGCAGUGGAAACUGGACGACUAGAGUGUGGUAGAGGGUAGCGGAAUUCCUGGUGUAGCAGUGAAAUGCGU
rnacentral:rRNA from 1 species